ACGGGGAGCUCAUAAUUUAUUGGGCUGAGAGGGUGAAAUCAACACCGACCCAUGAACCUGAUCUGGAUAAUGCCAGCGAAGGAAUUUAUUAUAA
rnacentral:ncRNA from 1 species